UCUUUGCUAGUAUAUCGGUUAGUACACGCGCCUGUCAUUGGCACAUUGGUACAUUGGUACGCGCGAAAGCUGGGUUCGACUCCCAGGCAGAGAG